rnacentral:misc_RNA from 1 species
AAGAAAAAGAAGAAGAAGAAGAGAGGUUUUGACUUGGAUCAUCUUCCUCUAGGAGUCAAAAACAAAGCAGGUGUGGGAUUCAAUUAUUGAGCAAUGUGAAUGAAGGUGUGCUGGGUUGAAAUUGCAUUACUUGUUGGCCAUUAGAGGUUAUUCUCUGGUCAAAAUCACUCUUCCAAAUUACACUCUAUUUUCUUCCUAAAAUAGGUAGCCCCAGAAUUUUAGAAGACAAUCCUGCUUGCUGCAUCAUGCAGGCUUAAGG